AGUGAACGCUGGCGGUAGGCCUAACACAUGCAAGUCGAACGGCAGCACAGUAAGAGCUUGCUCUUACGGGUGGCGAGUGGCGGACGGGUGAGGAAUACAUCGGAAUCUACUUUUUCGUGGGGGAUAACGUAGGGAAACUUACGCUAAUACCGCAUACGACCUACGGGUGAAAGCAGGGGAUCUUCGGACCUUGCGCGAUUGAAUGAGCCGAUGUCGGAUUAGCUAGUUGGCGGGGUAAAGGCCCACCAAGGCGACGAUCCGUAGCUGGUCUGAGAGGAUGAUCAGCCACACUGGAACUGAGACACGGUCCAGACUCCUACGGGAGGCAGCAGUGGGGAAUAUUGGACAAUGGGCGCAAGCCUGAUCCAGCCAUACCGCGUGGGUGAAGAAGGCCUGCGGGUUGUAAAGCCCUUUGUUGGGAAAGAAAAGCAGCAGGUUAAUACCCCGCUGUUCUGACGGUACCCAAAGAAUAAGCACCGGCUAACUUCGUG
rnacentral:rRNA from 1 species